rnacentral:rRNA from 1 species
GUACACUCCUACGGGAGGCAGCAGUGGGGAAUAUUGCACAAUGGGCGCAAGCCUGAUGCAGCCAUGCCGCGUGUAUGAAGAAGGCCUUCGGGUUGUAAAGUACUUUCAGCGGGGAGGAAGGCGAUAGGUUAAUAACCUUGUCGAUUGACGUUACCCGCAGAAGAAGCACCGGCUAACUCCGUGCCAGCAGCCGCGGUAAUACGGAGGGUGCAAGCGUUAAUCGGAAUUACUGGGCGUAAAGCGCACGCAGGCGGUCUGUCAAGUCGGAUGUGAAAUCCCCGGGCUCAACCUGGGAACUGCAUUCGAAACUGGCAGGCUAGAGUCGUGUAGAGGGGGGUAGAAUUCCAGGUGUAGCGGUGAAAUGCGUAGAGAUCUGGAGGAAUACCGGUGGCGAAGGCGGCCCCCUGGACAAAGACUGACGCUCAGGUGCGAAAGCGUGGGGAGCAAACAGGAUUAGAAACCCCAGUAGUCC